rnacentral:lncRNA from 1 species
CUUUGAUACUAACACAGGUAUAAAGUAUAAGAAAUAUAUGUAGACAUUUUAAGGAGACGUACAAAAUAAAUAUAAAAUAUAAACAUUGUGUAUAAUUAUCAAAUCACUAGUCAAGAAUCAUAUAAUUUAAAUAACUAAAAUCAAGGCAAUAAAAGUCAAAGUUAAUAACUGUUAUUUAUUAACAGUUAUUUAAGGACUUGUACCCUAUAAACAGAAACUAUACAUUUUUCAAGCAUCUAUGAUUUACCAAAAUAGACUAGUAUUAGUUAAGAACAAGAUAAUAAUAAUAAAUAACAGAAAUUUCAGGAAUUACAUAAGGUCACAACUUAAUAAUACAAAAAAAAUAAUCUUUUCAUAAAAACAUUCCCCAAAAAUAUUAAAAACAAACAACAAAUCAAUAACAACAUUAAAAUAAGCAAACCAUUUGCCUAAAUAACUGUUGUGACAAAAGGCAAACUAAACCAUAACUGUAGGCCAUUUAAGAACCUACUAAAUUACAGCACCACGUUUCAACACUGAUGUAUUACCAAAGCUCUUCUUAGAGACAAAUUCAUAGGCUUUAACAGUCUAUUAAAAAGAAGUAUAAAAGAAUCAUGUCUUUAUCACAGGAACUUAACUGGACUACAAUAAAGCAAAGAUGAAACUUAGAAAGAACACAAAUUUAAUUGCAUUAGAGAAAUUGGAAAAUCAACAAGUAAAUCACAGAACUAAUAUUUUUAAAGAAAAAAAUUCGUUACUAUUUUAAAAGGAAUAAGCAGCAGGAAAAAAAUGAGAAAGAAUACAACACGCAGAAAAUUUUUAAAAAAUACUGAGGGUAAUGUUUAAGAAGGUAAUUGCAAAUUUCUAGAAGAAAUGCUAGCAAAUGUAAUUUGUAUAGGAUGUUAAAACAAUACUUAAUAAUGCAGUACUACAUUAUCUUAGCAAUACAUAGAUGAUUUCAAUAAUCAAUUUAUAAUAUUUGACUAUAUAUAGCAGCAUUCUAUCUCUCCAUGUAUUCAAGUUUUCUUAUAGGACUCAUAAAUAUGUUUUAAUAGACUUCUGGCAAGUUUAUACUUUUGUGAAAAUUAGAAAGAUUUUUUUCCAUUACAUUUUUUACCUGGUUAUUGCUGGAUUGGAAGAGUCACAAAAUUCCACGCACACAACUUGGAUGUAAACAAAAAAUACAGCACACAUAAUCUGGUCUUUUUCUGAAUUCCACGUCCAAAAUUUGGCAGAAAAAAAAAAGUGUUCAAUCUCCUGUGAAUCUACUCUGAUCUGCUAUACUAAAAAAUACUUAGUCUUUUUGUGCUGCAUUUUUCCCCCCUUCCCCAUUAUCUCCUCCUAAGCCUUGCCUGGGAAUUGCAAGCCCACCAGAGAUCCUAUUCUGUCACUAAGCAAAAUCUGAUUUACAAUUUUGGCUGAGGAGAGGGAACAUAUUAAAACAUAUCAACAAUUUUAGAAUCAAUAUUAUUAAAUUUCAUGUAGGUUUUAGAAAUGUUUUACUUGUAUACUUUAGACUUCAUUUUAUAAAAUUACAUUUUUAAAACUUUUUACAUUUUUAGGAAAUACAUGUUAGCUAAAAAACUGUGUUUUGCUCCCUGCUACGUUUGCUUAUCCUAUCCUUCAUUACUCCUUGGAUUUUAGUCUAACUGGUCUUGGGACAUGCCUCUUCCCCACAAACACCCCCACCACCAUACCACAUUGCUGUGACACAUUUAGCUUGUUAAUGUGGUAAGAGUGGAGCUCACUUACAGAAUUUUUGCAGACUAGACCUUAGGCUACAGGUCUUUACCAUGGAGCAGAAAAGUGGUAUCUCAAACCUCAUCCACAAAGGUUGAUCUAGUCCAAGCCCCUCUCCAGGUUCAUGUCCAUGUACAGCUUUGUUCUUAUUGUAACAACCUACAUUUUAGAAUAGGCAACGAAGACCAUUACCAAGAGCAGUAGGAGGGGCAACCUUCGGCUGUUUGUUUUUCAGGAUCUCAACUUGUGAACUUACUCUUCUCUUCACAGAAUGGGAUAACUGCCUGGCACUCACCAAGCUACACUUGAAGAGGAUCAAUCCAUGUCAUCAUGUCCCCAAUUUCAUAGCACCAAGUAUUUUGUUUAUUCACAAAUGCCCUAUUAUGGACAUCUAGCAAACAAUGAUACAUCAGAAAAGGAGAUGUGCAUAAAUUUUCAUGGAAUAAGGGAUGCGCAUGAAAGAAUGUGCCACAGAAAAUGAGACACAUCAAUGAGGGUAGGUUUGAAAUACCAAUUUAAAGCAGACUUUCACCGUUUGGCCAGGCUAUAAACAUUAAAAAUCCAUAACUAAGAUCUUACUAUAUAUUCAGGCAUUUUAAGAACUCUGCAUAUAUAAUUACAUUUGACCCUUCUAAUGCCUUUAUCAGAUAGGUUCUAUUAUUGCUCUUUUUUAAAUAAAGAAGAUAAACUUUGAAGAGAUUAAUAAAUUAAUAAAUUGGUCCUCCAUGACACAGAUUAAUAAAUAGCAGAAUCUUGAUUCAAAUUCUAUUUUGUCCUCGAUUUUAACUUCAUAAUCAUAAUGUUAUAAUGUUGUUUCAUGUUACUUUUAGGGAUUGCAAAAGGUUAAAACCCAAUUUAUAUUAGUUUAAGAAAAAGCAGAAAUCAUAGAGGGUACCGUUAGGGUACUUCCCCCUUUCUAUGAGGCGUUUCAUAGAAACCAAGUACAGGAAUACAGCUGUGCCUCAGGAAUAUCAGAAUCCAGGGAAUAAAGACUGACCAAACUUAGUUUCCACCUCUGCCCCAGCCACCUGACCCCCUUCCACCACACUCCACUAGCUCCCUCCACCUCCGCUCUACCCCCCACUGUCUUACUUCCAUCCACUUAGUAGAAAACAUAGUUACUGUGAGCUUUAUAUCUUUUAGUCCAAAUAUUCAAUGCCCAAAAACAGUUGCUUGACCUUUUUUUUUUUUUUUAAUCACAAACAACACUAAUUGUGGGGAUGGAACACUUUGGCCAGGUUUAGGUCAUUGUCCAUUCUAAAACAAUUAUCUAUUCAGUCUCUUAAAUCAAGAAUAUUUUGAGAAUGUUUUUAUAUGUCUGACACUGUCUUUAGUACUGUGAAUCCAGCAGUGAACCAGACAAACAAGAUCUUAUAUUCUAUAGAGAGAGACAGGGAAUAAGUAAGUUAAAAUAUAUAAUAAAUAUCCAAGAGGCAAAUACAUAUAUAAGAUAAAUACAUAAGCUGAUUUCAAAUAGUACUACAUUAAAACAAGGUAAUAUAUAGCAAAAGAUUGAUGGGGCAGAGGAGUGGAGGUCAAUAUUAGAUAUAUAAGAGAAUAUUUAUCUGAGAUAACAUCUGAAUAGAGACCCAGAUGACAAGAAAAAAACAGCCAUCAAAAAAUCUAGAAAGGUGAUGGCAGGUAGAGAGGAUGAAAGGUACAAACACAAUGAACUGAGAAUAUUAGACAGCCAGGAUGGCUAGAACCUAGUAAGCAAAUGGGAAAAAAUGUAGGGAAUAAGUUAGAGGCAGGGAGGCAGAUAGGGACUAAAAUUACAUAUGGGAGGCUCUGUAAGGCAUUUGAAUGUUAUUCAUGUGGAAAAAGUUAUAGCCAAAGGGAGGAUGCUAUGAUUUUCUCAAGUUGGGUUAGGUACCCCUUGGGUUAUGUUUUAAUUUGACUGCUUUUGUUGCAGCCAGAAGGUUGUAGAAUGAGGUGGAGUAUUUCCCAUGGGAGCUGUGGUUCUGGGCAGAUAAAACAAUGCACAAUUCUAUUCUCUUCACAAUUCUGUUCAAGUACUUCUGUUAUAAAUCCCCUUAACAGUAAGUGCCCCCAUUGUCAAUCACAGUGGCCACUGCUCUUCCAAAACCAGCUUUAUCUAGGUUUUAUUUUCUACCAGUUUUCAAUAUCUUAAAUUUUCUUCUCUUUUAUACAAUUUUAAGGCUGUUUAAAAGGGCUAGCUCAAUUGGAAUAUGCAUAACUUUCCAAUGUUGGAAAGUGAUCUUUGCUAUGCUGAUCAUUGAUUGAUUACCUGACAGUCAACACCUAUUUGAAUCACUGUCUCUUGCCUCUAAGCAUUGGCUUCCAAGUAGAUUUCACUGGGCUUUGUAUUUUAAAGUUUCCUAUUUUCCAAGCUCUGUUAUUUGCCAUGCUUCUUUUCAGUUUUCUUAGGAAAAAAAUGAUUGGAUCCUGGGGGCAUUUGCUAGAUAUCUGGCAAGGAGCAUCACACAGGUAUAAAAGCAAGUCAACCUAACUGAGGAAAAUUGAGUAAAAUGGAAAAGGAUGCCAGUAGAAAGGAGAGAAUCUGGGAGGAAAAAAAAAAGGGAAACUAUAUACAGUCAGGUAGUAGUCAUAUCAAAAAACAAAGGAAUGCCCCCAAAGAGUUAUGAAUUGCUGCAGGAGAAUUAAUGAGAUGGAAAAUUUCUCAAGGAAAAAGAGCCAAGUAUAUAUAAAGGGGAGAAAAGCAUAAAAUGAAGAAAAAAAAAAAACAAAUAAGGCAAAAUAAAAAUUUUUAAAAACCCCAUAGUGCAGGGUGAAAGAGUAAAACAAAAGAAAGGA